rnacentral:lncRNA from 1 species
GAGAGAAGAAUCAAGCUCAAAGAAGAUGACCGGGAACAUCUCUAGUAUCCUUGGGGAAGAUCCAUGUCAUUCACAUAAGUGUAAAACUAGAACAAGAAUCAGACCAAACCACCACUGUGAUUGCUCACACUGCUGGGAAAUCCAGGCAUUUGGCAGAGGUUCAAUUUAUGCAGCUGCUGCAGAUAUACCUCUGGAUUGUCUGAUUUGGUCUCUGCUUUACCAAACUCCAAACAAUCACUGUGAUUCAAUUAUUGCUGCUUUGAAUCUCUUGAAAACUGUGAGCUGGCCUCAGAAUCUCAAUUUUUUCAUCCUGUGUAAUCCCUGGAGUGAAAACUCUCUUCUUCAACAUAUAAAUCCACAGGAAAAAAAUUGACAUGAAAGAAAACUCGCUGAGGGAAUUUUGCUUUGAAGAUCAGCACAUAUUUAGCCUGGAAAGCAGAGAUUGCUUACAAUUGUGGUGAGCAAGCAAGUUGUGCAUUUUGUUGGUAGACCGGGCUUUUCUUUGUCUUAGAAAAUUUUUUGAAGAGCAGAUGCAAAUGUGUUGGUGUAUAUUUAUAUUUAUGUAAGGAUGCAUAUUUAUAUAUUUUUUUGUGCUGUUGACAUUUUCUCCUUUUGGUCCUAGGCAGAACUCCUGACAAAUCUUGUUCACUUUGUAAGCUUCUUCCAUCUCUGAUGUUUCUCCCACUUCUUUCUCCUCCUUUGGGCUUUGGCAAUGUGACAAACAACCUUCUGGCCCAGAGCUUUCUCACUGCCACACUUUUUACAGGCUGUUCUUUUUCUUUUUCUGGCUACUUGAGUCAUUGCCAAGCAGUAGCAAGAACUGUGAGAGCUUGGGACUGGAAAGUGUAUGGUUUUAAUUGUGGAAUAAGCUGCUUUCAAUCCUCUGCACUGAGUGGGAAAGCGAAUCGUGGUGGAAAAUGCUGUGUAAAAACAUAAAUGGUGCAAACUCCUUGCAGUGCAAGGCUUGAGCUACUCAGCAUUUUGUCAGGCAGCAGCUGAACUUCUUUAAGCUCUUUAGUAGCCCUGCUCACACAAUUAAGUCUGGACCUCAGAGUUUUGUUUAGCACUCAGGAGUCCUGAAAUGGUGAAUUUAAGAUCAUAUCCCAUCCAUUUGGCUGUGGUGGGUUAACCCAGCUGUGCCUGGAUUCCA